rnacentral:rRNA from 1 species
GCUGGAAUCGCUAGUAAUCGCAGAUCAGAAUGCUGCGGUGAAUACGUUCCCGGGUCUUGUACACACCGCCCGUCACACCAUGGGAGUCGGAAAUGCCCGAAGCCGGUGACCCAACCAAAAGGAGGGAGCCGUCGAAGGCAGGUCUGAUAACUGGGGUGAAGUCGUAACAAGGUAGC